UAUAAAUUAGUAUUCUUCCUUACCUUUUAAUGUCUGAAAGCUCUUAGAAUACAGCUGGCACUUAACUGCAGAAUUCUGGACUCUAAAUAAUUUCCAAAAAUUAGGGAAGUUAAUAAUUUUGGGUUACCUACUAAGUAGCAAGUGGACAGUAAAACAUUAGGCUUGUUAGGGUGACAUUAUCUGCAUUUUGUGGAUAAUAAGGACAGUGUGUGCCACAAAGUUAUAUAGCUGAACAUAUAAAGGAAGUAGACCAUGUUAAACUUCUGAUGGAUUUCAUAGUAAGAAAUUGGUGUAUGAUUAGCAGAGAGCUUCUGGGCCCUUGUUUGUUGAUUAAACAUUGAAGAAUUUUUUUCUUAAUGAUAAAUUCGAGAUACUCUCAAAAUAGAGAUAUUCUAUCCAGGGCCAUCAAACAGUUUUGAUUCCUUAGUAUGACUCACUACAUCUUUUUUCUUGCAUAUUCCGUAAGUUUACUGUAGUAUUCUCAAAACAUUGAAGAGUUUGGACCAAAAAUUCAAGCAGUGAAACUCCAUGCAGUGUAAAAUUUGAGUUCUGUAGUGCAGAUUUGAUUUUUUAAACACAGUUGUUCUAGUUAUUUUAAAGUGUAUGCCUUACUGAAAUAGUUACCAGUGAAAUAAUAAUGUUAUCUGGGAUUUGUAUUGAAAUUCUCCAGGAAAAAAAAAAGUUGGGA
rnacentral:lncRNA from 10 species